rnacentral:rRNA from 1 species
GUGGGGAUGGCGUCAAGUCCUCAUGGCCCUUAUAGGUGGGGCUACACACGUCAUACAAUGGCUGGUACAAAGGGUUGCCAACCCGCGAGGGGGAGCCAAUCCCAUAAAAGCCAGUCCGUAGUCCGGAUCGUAGUCUGCAACUCGACUACGUGAAGUCGGAAUCGCUAGUAAUCGUGGAUCAGAAUGUCACGGUGAAUACGUUCCCGGGUCUU